GACGUAGGGUGCGAGCGUUGUCCGGAUUUAUUGGGCGUAAAGAGCUCGUAGGUGGUUUGUCGCGUUGUUCGUGAAAACUCACAGCUCAACUGUGGGCGUGCGGGCGAUACGGGCAGACUGGAGUACUGCAGGGGAGACUGGAAUUCCUGGUGUAGCGGUGGAAUGCGCAGAUAUCAGGAGGAACACCGGUGGCGAAGGCGGGUCUCUGGGCAGUAACUGACGCUGAGGAGCGAAAGCGUGGGGAGCGAACAGG
rnacentral:rRNA from 1 species